rnacentral:rRNA from 1 species
AUGGCACUGGUCUACGCACUCACUGCCGAGCACAAGAAGGAGAUCGAUGGCCAAGUCGAAGAGCUGCUCCGCAAAGGUGUCAUCCAGAAAAGCAGCAGUCCAUUCUGCUCACCCGUACCAAUCAUCGAGGAGUUGCUGGACGAACUACACGGUGCGGCCUGGUUCUCCAAAUUGGAUCUCCGCUCCGGUUAUCAUCAAAUUCGCUCGGCGGAAGGCGAGGAGUACAAGAUAGCCUUUCAAACGCAUUCAGGGCACUACGAGUUCCUUGUGGUUUCCUUCGGCCUGGCAGGCGGACCAGCCACAUUCAACGGUGCCCUGACAACUACUCUCAAGCCAGUCGACCGCAAGUGUGUCCUCCUCUUCUUCGACGACAUACUGGUUUUCAGCAAGACCCUUCGCGACCACAUCAACCAUCUCCGUCAGGUCCUGCAACUCCUGCGCCGUGACCAAUGGCAUGUCAAAAGAUCCAAAUGUGAGUUCGCCUAG